CAGAGCGAGAGGACGGGAGCGAGCGAGAGUUGAACGUCGAGCUCUCUCGCUCUCUCCUGUUUGGGGGCACGUUAUAAAAUUGCCAAGUAGGCAAAAGGAGCGAGCGAGAGAGGGUAGGCAGAGGUAGGCAGCGGCAGCGGCAGAGGGAAAAGGAGCUCACAAGGAAAAAGGAGAACUGCAGCGGUAAUAAUCGUGCCAAAGUGAAAUAACGGGAAAUACACACACACUUUCACGAACACAGACAGUUUAUUAGUUGUGAUUUAACAUGACUGGAUACAACCAACCAGGGAAUAUAACAUUGAAAUGUCUACUUAUGGAGAAGUACAUAAAAUAUUACUGAAAACUAACUGUUCUCUGCGGCAAAGAGCAAUUUCAUUUUUUUUUUUACUUUUCGCCAGAUCCAGGCAAAAAAGAAACUAGACAGACGUGGGGGAACGAGACAGAGAGAAUCACCCCCAGGCUAUGCGAAACCAGCCAUUUACCGUUAGGCGGAGGGAUCAGUUUUUCGAGAUUCAGUUAUACAUACACACACACACACGAACACAUGGC